rnacentral:rRNA from 1 species
UACGAAGGGGGCGAGCGUUGUUCGGAGUUACUGGGCGUAAAGGGCGCGUAGGCGGCGCUCCAAGUUAGGCGUGAAAGCCCCGGGCUCAACCUGGGAAUUGCGCUUAAGACUGGAGUGCUCGAGUGCGGGAGAGGUGAGUGGAAUUCCCAGUGUAGAGGUGAAAUUCGUAGAUAUUAGGAAGAACACCAGUGGCGAAGGCGGCUCACUGGCCCGGUACUGACGCUGAGGCGCGAAAGCGUGGGGAGCAAACAGG